rnacentral:rRNA from 1 species
CCUACGGGAGGCAGCAGUGGGGAAUAUUGGACAAUGGGGGGAACCCUGAUCCAGCCAUGCCGCGUGUGUGAAGAAGGCCCUCGGGUUGUAAAGCACUUUCAGUGAGGAAGAACGCCUGGUGGUUAAUACCCAUCAGGAAAGACAUCACUCACAGAAGAAGCACCGGCUAACUCCGUGCCAGCAGCCGCGGUAAUACGGAGGGUGCGAGCGUUAAUCGGAAUUACUGGGCGUAAAGCGCGCGUAGGUGGCUUGAUAAGCCGGUUGUGAAAGCCCCGGGCUCAACCUGGGAACGGCAUCCGGAACUGUCAAGCUAGAGUGCAGGAGAGGAAGGUAGAAUUCCCGGUGUAGCGGUGAAAUGCGUAGAGAUCGGGAGGAAUACCAGUGGCGAAGGCGGCCUUCUGGACUGACACUGACACCGAGGUGCGAAAGCGUGGGUAGCAAACAGGAUUAGAUACCCUUGUAGUC